rnacentral:lncRNA from 1 species
AUGAUCCUGAGAGUUCAACUUGUUUUGGAAGGAGAGGUUUGUUAUGCAGCAGGAGUGUUGCCUUCUCAAUGUCAUUUUCCCAUCUGUCCUGCUCAGCAGCGUUACCGUCUGGGCUGCUCCAUGUGUGCAGUCAGCAGUCAGACCAUACUGCAGAGUGACACACUGAGCCUCAAAACUAUUCUUGUACAACGUCUGCCGUGCUCCACAUCUUCCUCAAAGGAACUGUGGAUACAGUUUAAACUUGUUUAUAUUCAUUCCAGUGGCCAGGAAAAUAAAUAAUUCCUUUUUCUGUAUUUGGAGUUCCCUCAACAAUAGGUUUACUAUUAUUUAAUCCUUCUUACUUUAUGAGCUAUAUUUAUCUUCUGGUACUCAUAGAAUUCUAUUGCUUUGCACUAGUCCCAUGGAAAUUUAGGGAAACGUCUCAACCUAUUGCAAGGGAAACAGGCUCUAAAAACCUUACUUUGUCUAAAAUUUGCCAUCGCUUUCCCCACAGCAUGAACUGCCCUGUGCACAAUAUGCAAAAGAUGUUUCAUUUAAUGUCAAUGCUUAUAAAAGAUCAACCAUAACCUAUUGGUGACAAUACCUUUACUGUUUCAUUCAAGAUUUAUUUGGCAUUGCAAGCAAUGUGUAUUAAUCCUGUCCUGGAAAGUACUUUGGCUGGAAAUGUGUGGUAUCUUGCAGAUGGUUUGCCAAACUUUUGUACGUAUCUUGUGAUUCUUGCCACCCUUCCUUGUGUUUAGCUCUCCUGACUUUGUGGAUUUUGUGGUUCAACUGAAAACAUUCCAGAUCAGGAAUGAGCAUGUGCUCUAUAUUUAACUCUAUAUUUAGUCAUGUCAUCAGUAGUACCAUUGUGCAAGUUGCUUAUCUUUGUUAGCUACGUAAGGGAUUGUCCUUCCUCUUCUUGUAAAUAACAGAGAUCUUUAAAUUCAAAUAGUUGCCACCUAUUCUUUCUGUGAGCUAGCUAGCCAGUCAGUAAUGGUGCUCUUCAGUAGAUAUCAGGUGAUGACAAUUUUUUAUGUCUGCCUAUAUAUAAAAUUUGAAUAUUUUGAAUCAGCUUCUGUUUUCAUAGAAAUCUAGGCUAAAAAGAAUCUUGUGAGAUCAUCUGUUCAUAGUUCCUAAUCUGAAGCAAAAUAAGUAUACUUAGAAUCUCCCUUAUGGUUUUGUCUGAACAGCCUUUGGAAAUUGGUGAUAAAGGGAAUACCAUGAUAUUCCUACUGUUUUACUGCUAAUUACAUUUGGGAAAAUGUCUAUGUAAUAUCUAUUUUCAAAACUUAUCUCGGCAUAAAUCAAGCUGAUUUCUACUUGCCCUGAAAUGGAUGAACAAGGAAUAAAUUUGAUUGGUACGAAUUAAAAAACA